GCAAGUCGUGCGAGAAAGUAUCUUCGGAUAUAAAUAGAGCGGCGGACGGGUGAGUAACGCGUAGGAAUCUACCUAGUAGAAGGGGAUAGCCCGGGGAAACUCGGAUUAAUACCGUAUACCUCCUUCGGGAGAAAGAAGGCCUCUCAUUGAAGCUUUCGCUACUAGAUGAGCCUGCGUAAGAUUAGCUUGUUGGUGAGGUAAAAGCUCACCAAGGCGACGAUCUUUAGCGGGUCUGAGAGGACGAUCCGCCACAUUGGGACUGAGACACGGCCCAGACUCCUACGGGAGGCAGCAGUGGGGAAUAUUGGACAAUGGGCGCAAGCCUGAUCCAGCCAUACCGCGUGUGUGAAGAAGGCCCUAGGGUUGUAAAGCACUUUAAGUUGGGAAGAAAAGUUAUUGGUUAAUACCCAAUAGCCGUGACAUUACCAUCAGAAUAAGGACCGGCUAAUUCCGUGCCAGCAGCCGCGGUAAUACGGAAGGUCCAAGCGUUAAUCGGAAUUACUGGGCGUAAAGCGCGCGUAGGUGGUUUAUUAAGUUGGAUGUGAAAUCCCCGGGCUCAACCUGGGAACUGCAUCCAAAACUGAUUCACUAGAGUACGAUAGAGGGAGGUAGAAUUCACAGUGUAGCGGUGGAAUGCGUAGAUAUUGUGAAGAAUACCAAUGGCGAAGGCAGCCUCCUGGAUCUGUACUGACACUGAGGUGCGAAAGCGUGGGUAGCGAACAGGAUUAGAUACCCUGGUAGUCC
rnacentral:rRNA from 1 species